CUCACGAAGUUGGAAGGUCUGACUGAACUUCUUUUAAACUAGUAAUCACAUGGUCUUCUUUUAUUGCCCUGCAUGCCAGAGAACGGAGCUGGAAAGCAGGUGUCUAGCAGAGGUGAAAUGCUCCCGGUUCAGACCGGAUUGGGCGAUCCGGUAUUGAGGGGGAUGAGUAGUUCGGAGAACCGGUAGCAAAAAUACCUGCCCUCUCCCCCCACCCAUGCCCACCCAAUCGCCCGGUCCCCACUUGCCUACUUGCUGCUUCUUUCGGGCUCACUAAGCCUUGCUUCGGCUGCUGCAAUAGAGUUGCAUCAGCUAGCAACUGAAUCUGCCUGCCUGCAAUUCAUCUCAUUGGUGAGCAACUCAAUCUGCCUGUCUUCAAUUCGAGCGCAUGAAUGUAUCCAAGUAUUUCAAAGCUCUAGAAUGUUCUAGAUGGAACUUGACACAAAGAACUUCACAAAUUCGG